rnacentral:misc_RNA from 1 species
GGUGUCAUGUAUGGAGGCAAUGUUGGACGAGGAUAUUUGAAUGCCAUCUCGAGAGGAUCUCUGACCAGCAGUAGAUUGAUCAUAUUAAAUAUUGGCAGUGAAAGUCCAACCAAUGUUCCGCCAAUUAUAAUGGCAGCAUGUUUAUUCCUUCUUGUUGCCCAAUAUGUCAAAUCUAACAGCAUAGCUGAAGGUAUCCAAACAGGUACGGCGAUGAAGUCGUAUGGAUAUCCUAGCGCAAACCAAGCUCCUUUGGCUACCCAUGUAUAGAUAGUCAUGAUUGUUGCGUAAUAUGUUGCAGUCCCUGGUACACCGGUGAAUAGCAUGUAAUAGAUUGCACCAACUACAAGCAUAGUUGAUUGGGAUAUUGAGAAUACCACGAAUGAGGUCCACGCCCAAUCUG